UAGGGAAGAAGGGGGAGUGAAAUAG
rnacentral:piRNA from 1 species